CGGAGGUCCGAGCGUUAAUCGGAAUUACUGGGCGUAAAGCGUGCGCAGGCGGUUUGUUAAGCCAGAUGUGAAAUCCCCGGGCUCAACCUGGGAAUUGCAUUUGGAACUGGCGAACUAGAGUCUUGUAGAGGGGUAGAAUUCCAGGUGUAGCGGUGAAAUGCGUAGAUAUCUGGAGGAAUACCGGUGGCGAAGGCGGCCCCUGGACAAAGACUGACGCUCAUGCACGAAAGCGUGGGGAGCAAACAGGAUU
rnacentral:rRNA from 1 species